UUGCCUCUUAUUUUUUCAGAUAUUAAACAAGGUCUGAAAGAUUAAAAAAAACACGCAUACCUAUUUUGCCCUAAUAAACAAUCGACUAGUUUUCUUCCCUUCGCAUCUGCUCCCAAUCGCAUCUGCUCCUAAUCGCGCUUGGUUCUCUUCACCAGCAAGGAUCCGACGACGAGGCCUCCACCCUUCCCCGUCGACGACGAUGCACCCUGUAAUGUCGCCGCCGCCGCCGCAUGUCCUCCCGGCUCCAAUGCGUUUUUGUAAUCUGCCAAUCAGGUAAGUUUUUCUUCUUCUGAAAAUCGAUUUCUUUGAUAUUAUUCUAUUUCUUCCUUCUUUUGAAAAUCGAUUUCCUUGUUGCUCCCAAACCUGAAAAUCAAAAGUCGAAAUCAUCUUGAUGUUAUUUGUUCUUGAUUUGUUCAAAAAUCGAUUUCCCUGCUAUGAGUUUCUGAUUUGUUCAAUGUUGAUGUUAUUUGUUCAAUGCUUAUGUUAUAUGCUCAUCUUGAUGUUAUUUGUUCCUGAUUUGCACAAUUUUGAUGUUAUUUGUUCAAUGUUGAUGUUUUUGAUGUUAUGUUUGAACUCAUAUAUGUUCUUGUUAUUAUGCUAUGGUGGCUGUGUUUGUUAUGAUGGCUGGAUAGUGGUUGAUUGUGGGUUGUAUACAAUAUUUGCAUAUAGGUUGACUUGUGGUUUGAUACCAGAAACAAUGGAGUAAACAAAGAAGCAAGAUUAAUCAAUGAAUUGAUUAUAAAAGCAGUUGAAGUUUUGAAAGGAUGUAUUCAUGUAUCAACUUCUGCUGAUUAUGGGGGACUUUGUGUAAUUGUAGGUAGAUAAUUUAUAAAUAUUCAUUAUAUUUGUUGAAUGCAAGUUGGGAAAUUUAUGCUACUUUUUGUGUGGUUUAUUAUUAAUAAAUGACACCAGAGGAUGUAUAAUUAUGGUAGUUUUGAUUUAUGUUAUAUUUGGAUUUUAUAAGGUGU
rnacentral:lncRNA from 1 species